AAUGGGGGCAACCCUGAUCUAGCCAUGCCGCGUGAGUGAUGAAGGCCUUAGGGUCGUAAAGCUCUUUCGCCUGUGAUGAUAAUGACAGUAGCAGGUAAAGAAACCCCGGCUAACUCCGUGCCAGCAGCCGCGGUAAUACGGAGGGGGUUAGCGUUGUUCGGAAUUACUGGGCGUAAAGCGCGCGUAGGCGGAUUAGAAAGUUGGGGGUGAAAUCCCGGGGCUCAACCCCGGAACUGCCUCCAAAACUGCUAGUCUAGAGUUCGAGAGAGGUGAGUGGAAUUCCGAGUGUAGAGGUGAAAUUCGUAGAUAUUCGGAGGAACACCAGUGGCGAAGGCGGCUCACUGGCUCGAUACUGACGCUGAGGUGCGAAAGUGUGGGGAGCAAAUAGGAUU
rnacentral:rRNA from 1 species